CCUACGGGAGGCAGCAGUGAGGAAUAUUGGUCAAUGGACGGAAGUCUGAACCAGCCAAGCCGCGUGCAGGAGGACGGCGCUAUGCGUUGUAGACUUCUUUUGUAGGGGGAUAAAAGGAUGUACGCGUCUCUUUCUGAGAGUAUCGUGAGAAUAAGUAUCGGCUAACUCCGUGCCAGCAGCCGCGGUAAUACGGAGGAUUCGAGCGUUAUCCGGAUUUAUUGGGUUUAAAGGGUGCGUAGGCGGUCCGUUAAGUUCGCGGUGAAAUCCGGAGGCUCAACUUCGGACUUGCCGUUGAGACUGGGAGGCUAGAGUGGAGUGGAGGUAUGCGGAAUGCGUGGUGUAGCGGUGAAAUGCUUAGAGAUCACGCAGAACCCCGAUUGCGAAGGCAGCGUACCGGGCCACUACUGACGCUGAGGCACGAAAGCGCGGGGAGCAAACAGGAUUAGAUACCCGUGUAGUC
rnacentral:rRNA from 1 species